GACAACAGGUGGAAAUUAUAGGCAAUUAGUAAGACACCCCCAAUAAAGGAGUGGUUUUGCAGGUGAUGACAACAGACCACUUCCCAGUUCCUAUGCUUCCUGGCUGAUGUUUUGGUCACUUUUGAAUGCUGGUGGUGUUUUCACUCUUGUGGUAGCAUGAGACGGAGUCUACAACCCACACAAGUGGCUCGGGUAGUGCAGCUCAUCCUGGACGGCACAUCAAUGCAAGCUGUGGUAAGAAGGUUUUCUGUGUCUGUCAGAGUAGUGUCCAGAGCAUGGAGGCGCUACCAGGAGACAGGCCAGUACACCAGGAGACGUGUAGGAGGGCAACAACCCAGCAGCAGAGCCGCUACCUCUGCCUUUGUGUAAGGAGGAGCACUGCCAGAGCCCUGCAAAAUGACCUCCAGCAGGCCACAAAUGUGCAUGCGUCUGCUCAAAUGGUCAGAAACAGACUCCAUGAAGGUGGUAUGAGGGCCCGACGUCCACAGGUGGGGGUUGUGCUUACAACCCAACACCGUGCAGAGAACACCAAGAUUGGCAAAUUCGCCACUGGCGCCCUGUGCUCUUUACAGAUGAAAGCAGGUUCACACUGAGCACAUGUGACAGAGUCUGGAGACGCCGUGGAGAACGUUCUGCUGCCUGCAACAUCCUCCAGCAUGAUCGGUUUGGCAGUGGGUCAGUCAUGGUGUGGGGUGGCAUUUCUUUGGGGGGCCGCACAGAGGUAGCCUAACUGACAUUAGGUACUGAGAUGAGAUCCUCAGACCCCUUGUGAGACCAUAUGCUGGUGCGGUUGGCCCUGGGUUCCUCCUAAUGCAAAACAAUGCUAGACCUCAUGUGGAUGGAGUGUGUCAGCAGUUCCUGCAAGAGGAAGGCAUUGAUGCUAUGGACUGGCCCGCCCGUUCCUCAGACCUGAAUCCAAUUGAGCACAUCUGGGACAUCAUGUCUCGCUCCAUCCACCAAUGUCACGUUGUACCACAGACUGUCCAGGAGUUGGCAGAUGCUUUAGUCCAGGUCUGGAAGGAGAUCCCUCAGGAGACCAUUCACCACCUCAUGAGGAGCAUGCACAGGUGUUGUAGGGAGAAGAUUUUCCCCUUCUAGAGACACAGGCACAGCUACCACAGAACCCCAAACUCCCAAACAGGAUACAAAGUAGCACUCCAAACUCCCGAACUGGAACCUCACGAAUAGCUGCUAGCAGCUGAACAGGAAAAGCACCCAAGUGGCUUACACUCCUGGCAAUCAGUCUCUAACAGCAUACAGUAAAUCCCCCCAAGAACGAGACAAGGCUCCGUUUUGAGUGUCAAGCAGGAACAGGCAGAGCUGUGCGUUUAUUGUUCUUAUAUACACAUUCUUACACAUUAGUACCACCCACAGGGUUUUGGAAAACAACCAAUAAACACGUACAAUACACUCAGACACUCCCACACAAAAUCCUCCCCUCUGCCUGUGAUACAAUUACCUUACACAAUGGGUAAUGUAAUUAUCACAGGCAGAGAAAUACAGUUUUUCCACAUUAUUCAUAAUUUUAAAAGUAUGCAUCACAUUGAGAUAAAACUUACAUUUUCAGAAUCAGCAUAUUCCAAAUACAAACAUAAGUCAAAAUCAUUCAAAUUGGUCCAGUGGUUCAAAAGAUAGAUCAUAGUCCUUUGUGACCAACAAUGACCCAACAAUGGCUCAGGCCCGACACCCCUCCUAUGAGCAAAGUCAAAAUAGGAAAAUAAUAAUAACUACGAGACGAAUAGAAUAACAGGUUAUGAUACAAAGUUUUAGAUGUUCGUGUUAUCUUAAGGAAAACACCAAAUAUGGUGUUUCCAGGUUUUGAAGUUUAUUGUGUUUAUGAAAAUGGAAAAACACUGAUGGACUGCAGCUUCAGACAACAACGCAGAAAGUAAAGGCGGGGCUUCCGAACAACAAAUGUAUACCUAACAAAACUAUUAUCUUUUUUCGGUAUCGCUGAAAAACCAAUGCAUCUCUUGAUGCUAGGCUUAUGCACAAGCCCCAAUACUGUUUACAAG